ensembl:snoRNA SNORA72 Small nucleolar RNA SNORA72
CUUUGAAUAUUCUCGAUGUUCUGAUUCAUUGAUAAUCAGGGCAGGCUAGACAUUCGCUAUAGUAAGACCAUGCAUGUGUCCCCAGAUCUAGUUCUUUUCCUAGGUCUGGUUUUCUAAAUGCUGGUGAAACGA